rnacentral:rRNA from 1 species
UACAGAGGUGGCAAGCGUUGUUCGGAAUUACUGGGCGUAAAGGGCGCGUAGGCGGCCUUCUAAGUCAGACGUGAAAUCCCCGGGCUCAACCUGGGAACUGCGUUUGUGACUGUAUGACUAGAGUACGGUAGAGAGGGGUGGAAUUCCUGGUGUAGCAGUGAAAUGCGUAGAUAUCAGGAGGAACAUCGAUGGCGAAGGCAGCCCCUUGGACCUGUACUGACGCUCAUGCACGAAAGCGUGGGGAGCAAACAGG